CCUACGGGAGGCAGCAGUGAGGAAUAUUGGUCAAUGGGCGGAAGCCUGAACCAGCCAAGUAGCGUGCAGGAUGACGGCCCUACGGGUUGUAAACUGCUUUUAUAGGGGAAUAACGCGCCUUACGUGUAGGGCUUUGCAUGUACCGUAUGAAUAAGGACCGGCUCAUUCCGUGCCAGCAGCCGCGGUAAUCCGGAAGGUCCGGGCGUUAUCCGGAUUUAUUGGGUUUAAAGGGAGCGUAGGCCGCAGGUCAAGCUGGCUGUGAAAUGUCCGGGCCCAACCCGGGACUUGCAGCGCGUACUGGCGUGCUGGAGUGCGCGGAAAGCAGGCGGAAUUCGUGGUGUAGCGGUGAAAUGCUUAGAUAUGACGAAGAACCCCGAUUGCGAAGGCAGCUUGCUGCAGCGGAACUGACGCUGAUGCGCGAAAGCGCGGGUAUCGAACAGGAUUAGAUACCCGAGUAGUC
rnacentral:rRNA from 1 species